rnacentral:rRNA from 1 species
CACGGGUGGCAGCAGUGGGGAAUAUUGGACAAUGGGCGAAAGCCUGAUCCAGCCAUGCCGCGUGUGUGAAGAAGGCCUUCGGGUUGUAAAGCACUUUCAGUGGGGAAGAAAGCCUUGGGGCUAAUACCCUCGAGGAAGGACAUCACCCACAGAAGAAGCACCGGCUAACUCCGUGCCAGCAGCCGCGGUAAUACGGAGGGUGCGAGCGUUAAUCGGAAUUACUGGGCGUAAAGCGCGCGUAGGCGGUCUGAUAAGCCGGUUGUGAAAGCCCCGGGCUCAACCUGGGAACGGCAUCCGGAACUGUCAGGCUAGAGUGCAGGAGAGGAAGGUAGAAUUCCCGGUGUAGCGGUGAAAUGCGUAGAGAUCGGGAGGAAUACCAGUGGCGAAGGCGGCCUUCUGGACUGACACUGACGCUGAGGUGCGAAAGCGUGGGUAGCAAACAGGAUUAGAUACCCUGGUAGUC